AGCAGCCGCGGUAAUUCCAGCUCCAAUAGCGUAUAUUAAAGUUGUUGCAGUUAAAAAGCUCGUAGUUGAAUUUCGGGAUCAAUAUGUUGGUCGUGCCUCGGUACGUACUAGCUUAUUGGUUUCUCCUUUCUGAAGAACCAUGAUGUCAUUUAUUUGGUGUCGUGGGGAAUCAGGACUGUUACUUUAGAAAAAUUAGAGUGUUUAAAGCAGGCUCACGCUUGAAUACAUUAGCAUGGAAUAAUGAAAUAGGACGUUUGAUUCUAUUUUGUUGGUUUCUAGGAUCGACGUAAUGAUUAAUAGGGAUAGUUGGGGGCAUUAGUAUUCAAUUGUCAGAGGUGAAAUUCUUGGAUUUAUUGAAGACUAACUACUGCGAAAGCAUUUGCCAAGGAUGUUUUCAUUAAUCAAGAACGAAAGUUAGGGGAUCGAAGACGAUCAGAUACCGUCGUAGUCUUAACCAUAAACUAUGCCGACUAGGGAUCG
rnacentral:rRNA from 1 species